AUGCUCUUGCAACCACUCCAGGCACGACUGGCACCCUUCUGCAGAAGUAAAUUGCCUUGCUGAGAAAGCUUUUGCCAGAGUGCUGAUUCUUCUUUGCGGCACCAAGCAUUUGUUUCUAACAUCACCUAUCUACUUUCAUUUUUCAGGUUAAGAAAUCUCCAAAACAGUUGGCUGCUUACAUAAAUAGAACAGUUGGACAAACUGUGAAAAGCCCAGAUAAACUUCGUAAAGUGAUCUAUCGCAGAAAGAAAGUUCAUCAUCCCUUUCCAAAUCCUUGUUACAGAAAAAAACAGUCCCCUGGAAGUGGGGGCUGUGACAUGGCAAAUAAAGAAAAUGAACUGGCUUGUGCAGGCCACCUGCCUGAAAAAUUACACCAUGAUAGUCGAACAUAUUUGGUUAACUCCAGUGAUUCUGGUUCUUCACAGACAGAAAGCCCAUCAUCAAAAUAUAGUGGGUUUUUUUCCGAGGUUUCUCAGGACCAUGAAACAAUGGCCCAAAUUUUGUUCAGCAGGAAUAUGAGAUUGAAUGUAGCUUUAACUUUCUGGAGAAAGAGAAGUAUAAGUGAACUUGUAGCUUAUUUGUUGAGGAUAGAAGAUCUUGGCGUUGUGGUAGAUUGCCUUCCUGUGCUCACCAAUUGUUUACAGGAAGAAAAACAAUAUAUCUCACUUGGCUGCUGUGUAGACUUGUUGCCUCUAGUAAAGUCACUACUUAAAAGCAAAUUUGA
rnacentral:sRNA from 1 species